UAAAUACGGGCAUAUCUUCCCCUGAGAGUAGAAGAUGUGCAUUGGUCUAUUUUGAGAAGUUUGCUUAGUUUCCUUCCAACUUUUUCUAGGAUGUCCUGAUCGUAGAAUUCUGUUGGUAAUUAAGGGAGCCGGAUCCAUAUGGCAGUGAUGUAAGGGUGGCUUCUUGAGGAACAAAUUUAGGUUCUCAUUUCCGCACGAUAAAAAAUUUCCAAAGAUGAACCAGGGCCAAGGUGGAGAGUCUUAACCAUACUUUCUUCUAAACUAAAUUUGACUAUGUAGAAGUCCCACCUAGGUCAAUCAAAAUUAAUUGUUCGGAUGAUUUCUAUAGCUCAAUUAGUUUAGAUCGAAGGAAAUGGUGGGGGCAUCUUUCGCUUGAAGACCUUGAUGACUACGGAAAAGCACCAUGGAAGGUAAAGGCACUUUUUGUCAUCUUGUGAAAGGGGAAUUGAAACCUUUGUCAAGAUCUGGGUUUGGAUGAGAGUCUACCUUAUAGUAAUCAGUUUGGUUGCUAUCCGGUUUGUCCAACCUUAUAGGAGUGGGUUGGUAAUUCUACAUCCAUUUAGUUAAGCUCGCCCCGAAGUUCCGGUAGGAUUGGUGGUUUGAUUAGUGGGGAUCCAUGAACAAAUUUUCUGUGAUUUCUCCUUGUUAGAAGAAUAUUCCUCGGAAACUGUUUCCGUGUGUUCAUUUCCGCAUUUGGAAACUGUUCUUUUUCCUCUUUCUCAGCCUAUCACCUCUUCCAUUUCCUUCAGACACUAUUCAUACCAUCUCGACUACCUCACAUUUAUUCAAUUUCUUCCCCCGAAGAAUAGCAAAACAAUACUCUUUCUUCUUCAAUUGGAUCCAAAUUUUCCAGUUAUUGAAAUAUGAUGUCAAAGCUCGAAUAUUUGUUUCUUUGUCAUAAUUUUGCUGCAAAAUAGGAAUGGUUUAACAGUCAAAAAUCAGAGAAGAAUAAUGUGGGGGGCUGUCCAAUUGGGAAUAUUGGCAGCCUUUCUUGUGCUGUUUGUCCCUAUAGGUAUGGCAGGUUGGCACUUGAGCCGUAACAAAAUGUUAUUUUUCAGUUGUGCCCUUUUUAUUUCCCUUGCUGUUUGUGUUCAUUUGACCCCUUAUUUCCCUUCAGUCUCCUCUAUGCUUUAUUCACCAGGUUCAGUACCCCUAUCAUCAUCAUCAAUUGUAAAUGUUGAUUCUUGCAUUUCUUUACUUCACCAAGUAUCAUUUAAUUUUCAAGACUUGAAUAAUAAUAACAAUAAUAAUGAGAAUACUAGUGUGGAAAAUACCAAUUCUUGGAGGUGGAUUGACUCUCAACCUGUUGUUCAAUGUGAUUUCCAGAAGUUGACCAAGUCUGAUGCUUCAGAUUUGUUUAAUGGCUCAUGGGUUGUUGUUGCUGGGGAUUCACAAGCAAGGUUAUUUGUACUUUCUUUGUUGGAGCUGUUAUUGGGGGAAAAUGAAAUGGGGGUGAUUAAGGGGGAUUUGUUCAAGAGGCAUAGUGAUUAUAAAGUUUUUAUUGAUGAGAUUGGGAUGAAGUUGGAAUUUAUUUGGGCACCUUAUGUGAGUAACUUGACUGAUUUGGUUGUUGGGUUCGAAGAAAAAAAGAGUUAUCCUGAUGUCUUUGUGAUUGGGGCAGGGCUAUGGGAUAUGUUACAUGUAAAUAAUGCAACUGAUUAUGGUGUUUCCCUAAAGUUGUUGCGGGAUUUAGUUGUAUUGCUGUUACCAGUACCUUCAGAUUUUCUUAAUGAUGGAGCUGGCACGAAUUUAGUCUCGAUUCGAUCCCCCAACUUCUUUUGGCUGGAAAUGCCAAAGCUGAUAAACUCGAUGUUGAAUACAGAUGAGAAGCGAGAGAAGAUGACUGAUGUGACGUGGCAAGCUUAUACGGAUGAGCUUUAUAGCAGUAAGCUGCUGCGACAAUCUGGUGGGCCCCUUUGGUUGCUGGACAUUCAUGCGUUGAGUAAUAGUUGUGGAGCUCGUUGUACUACUGAUGGAAUGCAUUAUCAUGGGGUCGUAUAUGAAGCUGCAGUUCAUGUAAUGCUAAAUGGAUUGCUUAUAGAAUCUAAUCAGAAGCUGUAAUGUAGCCAGGGACAGGGUAAUUGAAUUAGUUCUGUAAUUGCUAGAGCUUUCUUUGUUAUACAGGAUUAUUUUCCUGGUGCUACACUCAAUAACUGAAGAUCAGUAGCGAGAAGUUUUUGAUGGUAAUUCAUACUGAGCUUGAUUUUGUAGGCCGUUAUCACUCCAAAGCUAGCUCCACCCCCGCCACUAAUAGCCCAAAACAGGUUACCAUAUCCUCCUCCAGUUAUGUGUCCGCCAACACCAACAGUUGGGCAAAUUCCAGCUGGGAAGGCGUGGAUUUUGCUUUUUUCCCAGAUUCUG